AUUCUUUACCAGCUGAGCUCAGCAUCUACUAUGUAUCCGGUCCAGCUCUGGGCACCCAGGACAUUGGGGAACAUGACUAUACCCUAGUCAGAGGCUAAAGGAGGAGACAGAAGAGAAUAGUGUGCUGAAUAUUUUGAUAAGGACUGCAGAGAACUGCUCUAUAUAACAGAAAACCAGACGGGCAUAGUUGUAAAAGAGGAGGCUUCCCAGGUGGCCAGAGUGAUAAAGAACACGCGUGCCAAUGCAGGAGACAUAAAAGAUGUGGGUUCGAUUCCUGGGUUGGGAAAAUCCCCUGGAAAAGGGCAUGGCAACCCAUUCCAGUAUUCUUGCCUGGAGAAUCCCAUUUUCAGAUGAGCCUGGCGGGGCUGCAGUACACUGGGUUGCAGAGUUGGACACUGAAGCGAGUUAGCAGUCAGGCCAAAAGGAAGGCGUCUCUGGAGACAUGCCCUUUGGGCUGAGCCUUUAAGGCCUGGCAGGCGCUAGAGACUGCUAGGACCAUCUGCCCAUUUAACAGAAAAGAAGACUGAGCCCAGCGUCUGUCCACGGUGCCCUCCAGGCCUCAUUUAACCGGACUAGGCCGAGCGCUGCGCUCCGAGUCCGCAGGUCGAGCGCCAGAGCCCGGCCAACUUGCCCGCCCAGCUCCCGGGGCGGGGCCUCGGCCCAGGUGCUCGGCGGAGGCGCUUCGCGGAGGCAGGAAGUGUGUCCCCAGCGGCGGCCCGUGCAGCGCUCCCGCGAGACGCUCACCUGCGCCCCAGGUGAGCAGCGAGGGGGGGCGGGGGGAGGGGCCGAGCUGGAGGCGGCUCACCUGGCGGGACAGGCGUCUGGCUACAGCAGACCAUGCAGUGAGCCAUGCCCCGCCCUGGACACCCCCGCCCAUCAUCUGGGCCCCCACGCUUGGGACCCUGGGAGCGGCCAGCAGAACUAUGCCUGGAGACCUACGAUGAGCCAGCCCGGGCUCCACCAAGCCACCGCACCCGCAGACCAGACCCCAAGGACCCCGGGCACCACGGGCCCGAGAGCCUUACCUUUAUCUCCGGCUCUGCCGAGCAGACUCCCGAGCCCCCCGCCUGCUGCCUGCUCUGGCGACCCUGGGUAUGGGACUGGUGCCGGGCGGCCUUCUGCUUCCGCCGCUGCCGGGACUGCCUGCAGCGCUGCGGGGCCUGUGCGCGGGGCUGCAGCCCCUGCUUGUCCUCGGGGGACUCCCCUGAAGGGGCCGCCGAAGCCAACUGGGUCAAGGAGCACAACGGCGUGCCCCCCAGCCCUGACCGUGCGCCUCCCAGCCGGCGGGAUGGCCAGCGGCUCAAGUCGGCCAUGGGGAGCAGCUUCAGCUACCCCGACGUCAAGCUCAAAGGCAUCCCGGUGUACCCCUACCGCAGCACCACCUCCCCCGCCCCUGACGCGGACUCCUGCUGCAAGGAGCCGCUGGCUGACCCCCCACCCAUGCGGCACAGCCUGCCCAGCACCCUCGCCAGCAGUCCCCGGGGCUCCGAGGAGUACUACUCCUUCCACGAGUCGGACCUGGACCUGCCCGAGAUAGGCAGUGGCUCCAUGUCCAGCCGAGAGAUCGACGUGCUCAUCUUCAAGAAGCUGACAGAGCUGUUCAGCGUACACCAGAUUGACGAGCUGGCCAAGUGCACCUCAGACACUGUGUUCUUGGAGAAGACCAGUAAGAUCUCGGACCUUAUCAGCAGCAUCACCCAGGACUACCACCUGGAUGAGCAGGACGCUGAGGGCCGCCUGGUGCGCGGCAUCAUUCGCAUCAGUACCCGCAAGAGCCGCGCCCGCCCGCAGACGGCAGAGGGGCGCUCAAGCCGGGCGGCCGCCCCAGCUGCAGCUGCCCCAGACAGCGGCCACGAGACCAUGGUGGGCUCAGGGCUCAGCCAGGAUGAACUCACGGUGCAGAUCUCCCAGGAGACGACUGCAGAUGCCAUUGCCAGGAAGCUGAGACCCUAUGGAGCCCCAGGUUUGGUCCUGACGUGAUGAGGAGUGCGGAGAGGAGAGGGGACAGCCCUCGUGGCCCCCAACCUGCCCCUCUCCCAGCUUCCUCCUGGGGAUACCCUGCCAGCCACGACUCAUCCUUCCAGGGCACCGACACAGACUCUUCAGGGGCACCCCUGCUCCAGGUGUACUGCUAACCCUCGCCAGGCCCAGUACUGCCGCCCCGUCUGAGAGAAGUACCGUCUACAGCAUGAAGAGAGGGGCCAGAGCCCCACUUUGUGGGAGGCAGGGCCGUGAGCCCAGAAGCGUGCCCACUCUGGCUCCUCCCGCCUUGGCUGAAUGGUUCCCGAGCCACAUGCAUUUCACUGGGCUGUGGUGCCCACAUUCCCCUGGGGUCCCCCGCUGGCCUGGCCCCUGCCUGGGCCUGUUCCUUCCUGCCCAGUCUUCAGGAGGCCUGGGUCAUGGAAAGCAAAAGCUGAGGAGGGGACUUCUGGGAUUGAAUCCCAACUCCACCCCAAUAACAUGCCCCCCCU